rnacentral:rRNA from 1 species
UACGAAGGUGGCAAGCGUUACUCGGAAUUACUAGGCGUAAAGGGCAGGUAGGUGGUUUGGUUAGUCUGUUGUGAAAGCUCCCGGCUUAACUGGGGAGGGUCACGCGAUACUGAUCGACUCGAAGGCAGGAGAGGGUAGUGGAAUUCCCGGUGUAGCGGUGAAAUGCGUAGAUAUCUGGAGGAACACCGGUGGCGAAGGCGGCAUCCUGGACCAACACUGACGCUGAGGAGCGAAAGCCAGGGGAGCAAACGGG